GACGUAGGGGGCGAGCGUUGUCCGGAAUUACUGGGCGUAAAGAGCACGUAGGCGGAGACUUAAGUCAGAUGUGAAAGACCGGGGCUCAACCCCGGGGUUGCAUUUGAAACUGGGUCCCUUGAGGGCAGGAGAGGAAAGCAGAAUUCCUGGUGUAGCGGUGAAAUGCGUAGAAAUCAGGAGGAAUACCAGUGGCGAAGGCGGCUUUCUGGACUGACCCUGACGCUGAGGUGCGAAAGCGUGGGUAG
rnacentral:rRNA from 1 species